rnacentral:rRNA from 1 species
UCGGGAAUUUUGGGCAAUGGGCGAAAGCCUGACCCAGCAACGCCGCGUGAAGGAUGAAAUCCCUCGGGAUGUAAACUUCGCAAGAUUGGGAAGAAUUAGUAGGGGUUAAUACCCCCUAUGAUGACGGUACCUUUUGUAAGCUCCGGCUAACUCCGUGCCAGCAACCGCGGUAAUACGGGGGGAGCAAGCGUUGUUCGGAUUUACUGGGCGUAAAGGGCGCGUAGGCGGUCAGCACAAGUCAGUUGUGAAAUCUCCGGGCUUAACUCGGAAAGGUCAACUGAUACUGUGCGACUAGAGUGCAGAAGGGGCAACUGGAAUUCUCGGUGUAGCGGUGAAAUGCGUAGAUAUCGAGAGGAACACCUGCGGCGAAGGCGGGUUGCUGGGCUGACACUGACGCUGAGGCGCGAAAGCCAGGGGAGCGAACGGGAUUAGAUACCCCGGUAGUCCUGGCCUUAAACGAUGGAUGCUUGGUGUCUGGAGUUAUAUAGUCUCCGGGUGCCGCAGCUAACGCGUUAAGCAUCCCGCCUGGGGAGUACGGUCGCAAGACUGA